UAUGAAGUUGAUGUACACAUGAAGCUAACAUGAAAACACACACACUAAUUAGAAGCUCUUAAACAAUGUGUGAAUGAUGAUAUUUGGGUUCAGUCAGAUAUCAAGGAUGCCCCGAACCUGUGUGUAUACAUGGGAAGAAGGAAAAAGAUUCACAUGUACAUUGUGUUAACAUUAUCUUAAGUUCAUGAAGUUGGAGAAGCUUAGUUAUUUAGAUAGAAAACCUACAAAAAAAGCCAAAAAUGUUUACACAGUCACUUUGAUAUAUAAUACAAAAUUAGGUGUACACAUGUACAAUUUGAAUGUAAUGUACACACGACUUUUUUUUUCAUUAGUUUUGCAAAAUUGCGGAAAUAACCUCAUCUUCUUCCUUAGCCAUUGUCGACCAGAAACCCUAAUCUCCGCCUAUAUCGACUAUUUUGCACAAUUCUUUACAUUCUCAACUUGUUUUUUAUGUACUUUUAUCUAGAUGUGAUAGCUUUCAAUCCUAAUUCAUGGCUUUAAUCUUAAAAGUUCGAACAAAAGUGAUUUUUUGGUUUCUGAUUUGUUGAACGAU
rnacentral:lncRNA from 1 species